UAGGUUGAUGAAAACUCUCUAAUAAAUAAAUGGUUGAAUGAAUUUUAAAUCUUCCUGUAACGUUUACAUCAAUUUUCAAGUUUAGCUGUCUUGUUUUGGAUGAAGCCAGCCUUCCCUUAAGUCCCCACCCUCUUUUCCCAGAUCACCAUUAAUUUUUUUCAUGUCUGAGCUUCGUCUCUAAGCCUUAGACUUAGAUUUGAUUUGACAUAAUUCGCGCGUGCGCAAUCACAUUUCGAAUUAUGAAUUUAUGUAAAUUACGCGCAUCUUACGUAAGGUUGUGUAACAGAAAUAAAACUGCGAAAACAGCAAAUUUUCCUCGCUGUAGAUGCUAAAAUGCGAAUAUAUGCUAUUUAAAAUAAAUCGCAAAGGCCAGAAAAUGUACCACAGCUUUCGCUUCACUGCUUCAGCCAUCGUCAAGAAAAAAAAGUUUUACAUCCAGAUCAAAUCAAUGGACAAUGGUACUUGCUAACAUCAUAGUCAAGCAAGAGAUAUUGAACAGGAAAUUCCAGAAGAUAAAUCCAAAUAUUUUGAUAAAUCCAGAUAUUUGUUUUUUUAACAUUUCACUUUCUUCUCAUUUUGUUCAAACCAAAUCUACCUUUCCUAAAUUAAUGCACUUCUUUUAUAAUUCUUAUUAAUUGUUCCACACCCAAUCUGCAUAUUUCAUUGUAAGUUCAUUUAACCACCAAUAUUACAACAAUUGACAGUUACAGCAAUUUAUAAUGUCAACAAUUAAAAUUUUGAAAAUUCUCAAUGGAAAAA